rnacentral:rRNA from 1 species
GCAGUAGCCGCGGUAAUACGAAGGGUGCAAGCGUUACUCGGAAUUACUGGGCGUAAAGCGUGCGUAGGCGGUUUGUUAAGUCUGCUGUGAAAUCCCCGGGCUCAACCUGGGAAUGGCAGUGGAUACUGGCAAGCUAGAGUGUGUCAGAGGAUGGUGGAAUUCCCGGUGUAGCGGUGAAAUGCGUAGAGAUCGGGAGGAACAUCAGUGGCGAAGGCGGCCAUCUGGGACAACACUGACGCUGAGGCACGAAAGCGUGGGGAGCAAACAGGAUUAGAUACCCCCGUAGUCCCUGUCUCUUAUAC